rnacentral:rRNA from 1 species
GUAGUCUCGCACAGAUGCAUAUCAAUAAGCGGAGGAAAAGAAACUAACAAGGAUUCCCUUAGUAACGGCGAGUGAAGCGGGAAGAGCUCAAAUUUGAAAUCUUCAAGGUUUUACCUUGACGAAUUGUAGUUUAAAGAAGUGUUUUCUGUUGAAGUUUUGGUGAAAGUUCUUUGGAAUAGGACAUCAUAGAGGGUGAGAAUCCCGUAUUUGACCAUUAUUUUCAGCUGUGUGAUACACUUUCAAAGAGUCGGAUUGUUUGGGAAUGCAGUCCAAAAUGGGUGGUAAAUUUCAUCUAAAGCUAAAUAUUGGCGAGAGACCGAUAGCGAACAAGUACCGUGAGGGAAAGAUGAAAAGAACUUUGAAAAGAGAGUUAAACAGUACGUGAAAUUGUCAAAAGGGAAGCGUUUGACACCAGUGUUGUUUUCUCGAAAAUCAAUUAAAAAGAGUUAGAUUUUGUUGUGUAUUGACCUUAACAGCUUGCAUUUCAAUUUUCUUGCUUUUUUUAAUGCACUUUUCGUUUAACAAGUCAACAUCAGUUUCUUUUGUUGUAAAAAGGUCAUUGGAAGGUGGCUUUCUUUUCGGAGAAAGUGUUUAUAGCCUUUGACUCCUGCAAUCGGAGAGACUGAGGUCUGCAGCGUAGAUCCUUCGGGGUUAGAUACAUUUGUGCUAAGUUAUAGCUUUUUAUAGACAACUUGUUGACUAUGAUUAGUCUUGUAGCUUACUCGCUUAUGCUAUUUUACCUACGCUUAGGAUGUUGAAGAUGUAGCACAUCAUAUACGCAUGACACACUGCAUAUCAAUAAGCGGAGGAAAAGAGGGCUAUUACCUACGCUUAGGAUGUUGAAGAUGUAGCACAUCAU